CGGGCUUCCCCCGUCCCUCCGCCCCUCGCAGGAGCGCCAGUGCACCCAGACGGAGCGCCGCGCCCUUUGCACCCCACCCCGCGUCCCCCCCGGGGAGCAGCGCGCGCAGUCAGGCCUGCAGGCAGAGCGGCCGCCGCAGCGAGCUGCGGAUCUCCAGGCAAGCCUUGCGGCGCUCCGGGCAGUCGGGACCCAGCACGUCCAGUUCGCACACCCGCCGGUUGACCUGCGAGGACCGCACCCAGCCUGUGCCCAGGACUCCCGGGUCCCUUGGCACCCAGCCUGGGGCCCCGGGGAUGGGCCUGGUCUACAGCAGAACAUAAAAAAAUAUUUGCAGAAGCUGUGUGACGCUAAAAGUGCCUUUCUGGAGCAUGCCUACUUUGGUCCUGCUGCCACCCUCCAAAGCCUUUCCAAAAAGAAACCAGAGUCACUUGGACAGGGUCGCUCAGAAAGGCAACACCUGUCAUGAUGUGCUCCUGUUGAUGCUCCUUGUGGCCCUGCAUCCCACCAUCCCUGGAGGACUUGUUUCUAUUGAGACGGCCACCGCUCCUCAGCCAGGUGCCACCCAGGUGCCACCGGGUGUGGGAGGGGCUCCUCACCUGCCGCUGGGCUUUCACUGGCUGCUUCUGCAGGACCUCCACCAGGGCGACGGCCUCCUCGCCACUCCCCGGACUCCGCUCCCGCACCCAGUCCUGGACAUCUCCAGGCAGCACGCUCAGGAACUGCUCCAGCACCAGCAGCUCCAGGAUCUGCUCCUUGGUGUGAAGCUCCGGCCGCAGCCAGCGGCAGCAGAGCUCCCAGAGCUGGCUGAAGGCCUCGUGGGGCCCACCCACGUCCCUAUAGCAGAAAUGCCGAAAGCGCUGGCGGCAGGCCUCAGAAUCCCUGCUGUCUUCUUGCUGGGCAGAGUCCUGCUCCCAGGAAGAAUCUUCCACCUUCACGAUCAGCAGACCUGCUCCCUCCCCAGGGGCCUCCUCCUGAGACUCUGGGGGGGCUGCCAUUCCCCUGGCCUAAAGCUCAGGACUGCUUGGCCUCACCGGGCCUGGGAGCCAGUCCUUCAGUCUCCCAGAGGGAUCCCCUGUGGCAGCCGGGUGGGCAUCUGGACACGCAUUCCUGGGGAAAGAGCAAAAAGUGGCGGGGGGGGCAGUACAUGAGCAAACACCAGCCAGCCUGCUCCUGUCCUUUCCUGGCCCUGAAGUCUUUUUAGGCUCUCCCGGAAUGCCUCACUCCUAUGACAAGCUCUUUACCCACACCAGCUACAGCCCUUUAUCCUCAGCUCUGAAAUCCAAAACUCCCAGGUUUUUACUCCCUGGCCUACUGAUAUAGGCAUAUUUACUCCCUGGCCUACUGAUGUGAGCAUAUUUAUGAUCUCCACUUAUCUCAUUUAAUUUCAUAUUCAUAGGUUUCACAGCAAAAACCUUUAUGUGUUUCUUCUGUUUGGAAAUAUUCACCGAAAUAUAUUUACCAUGUGUAUUUCUGUAUGUGCACUACACUUCAAUAAAAAAUUUAAUUAAUA